rnacentral:tRNA from 1 species
GAGGUGUAGUGUAGUGGUAGCGCUUGUGUUUGACAGACCCACGUCGUGGGUUCGAUUCCCUCGGUGCCCCC